rnacentral:rRNA from 1 species
UACGGAGGAUCCGAGCGUUAUCCGGAUUUAUUGGGUUUUAAAGGGUGCGUAGGCGGCCUAUUAAGUCAGGGGUGAAAGACGGUAGCUUAACUAUCGCAGUGCCUUUGAUACUGAUGGGCUUGAAUGUAGUUGAGGUAGGCGGAAUGUGACAAGUAGCGGUGAAAUGCAUAGAUAUGUCACAGAACACCAAUUGCGAAGGCAGCUUACUAAAAGUAUGAUUGACGCUGAGGCACGAAAGCGUGGGGGAUCAAACAGG